CCCUAGCAAUUGUGAAACUUACUCUCUUCCCAAGUGUUUACAAGCAGCUGAGGGGGCUAACCAUGGCCAUUUCCGGGAGCCCUCCAUGAGAAUCCUGCAGAUGACAGACUUCUAACUAGCUUAGUGGCAUGUACACUCUACACCUUUUUGUCCUUCCUACUGACAAGGGAGCCAAGUUUUUGUUUUCAUGUCCUUCUCCAUGGCUUUUAAAUGGAGACAAAUGAAGAGGGAUGAGAAAGAAAAGCUCUACCAAAAGAAGAAAUGCCUACCACUGAGUUUUUGCUCUGUUGGUGAAAUUCAUUGGAACAAACAAAGUCUCUAACACCAGGCAGCUUUAGAGGGAUGCGUCUGAUACUGGAAGUUUCUGAUACCACAAAAAGAUACUUUUCCAAGGCUACAGGAAGCUGACAAUCCUGGUUGACAGUGGAGUGGCCCAGUUGAACCCAGCGUGUUCUUGACUUAGAUCUCCCCAGAUGUUUGCAUCCUUGAUCACUGUGCACUGAUCCUGGUCCCCAGCAAGGACCAGCCCUACCCCCUUGGAGGAAAUGGCUAAGCAGUCUCAGCAGCAACAGAUGAAAACUUCCUUCCUCUUCAUCCAGCUGCAGCCCUCCCCUGCCCGAACUCCCGCCCAGUCUCCAGCAUUCACAGCCCCAGCCACAACCACAGCCUCAGCAGCUGCCCAGAGGGGAGCAGUGAAGGAACACUGUUCCCUAAAUCCCAGGACAGAACCCAGAGCAAGCCAAGACCUCUGGCUCAAAGGACGGGUGGUGGAGACUCCUUCGUGGCUGCUGCCAGAAGAGGACUAUGGGACAGAGCAGGCAGCUGCAUUCAGCUGUUUAUUGCUGAAGGAGGAAGAGGAGGAAAAAGCUAAGGAUCGAGUUCUGAGGAAGGAUUGUGUGUCUCAUUUCUUGCAACACCAGGCUCUGCCUCCUCAGGAAUCUGGGCAGCCACAGGCAUGGCCGCGUAGUUUUCCUAGUCCAGCUCUCGGGAUGAGCAAUGGGACCGGCAGUCCCUUCACCUACUGGAGUCCCUGUUCCAUCAUUUCUGCCCCCCAAGCCCUGUGGAGCAUGGAUCACCAGCCCAGGGCUGCUUUGGGGCCCUCAGUCCUCCAGGCAGCUCUGCCGGCAACUUGUGCCAGGACUGUGGAGGCAAUGCAGUGGAGUGUGGAUGCUGCCGGAACGUCCCUCACACAUCCAGGGCAGCGUCAGGAGCUACCAGCUAGAAGUCGAGGCUGCUGUUUGAUGGAACCAAGGAGUGGUAAAAGAGGAGCCAGGACCCCUCUGCUGGCGAUAAAAGCCAAGGAAUAUAGAUACUGCCCCCAGGUACAGACCAGCAGGACCUACCCAGCACCACCUCCUGCCCCACGGCUUAAGGCAGAGACAUUUGUUUGGGGUAACAAUGGAUCAGCUCAUUCCAAGAGUGUUGCCAAGGCCAAAUAUGAAUUUUUAUUUGGCAGACCAGAAGAGAAAGCCCCAGAAACCAGUGACCAUGGAGGAAGCACUUUACUCCCACCCAAUAUCACCAAUGAAUUUACAGAAUAUGGGACCAUGGAAGAAAGGGGAGAAGUUCUCAGAGCUUCACUUGAAUUUGAUGCAGACAGCGAACAGUGCUGCAUGCAGGGGCGGGAGCGGGGCCAGCUCUUGGUUGGCCCCCAGUGUGGUGCCGAUGGUCCUACUGCCAGAGGACUGAAUCAUGAGGGGGAAGCAUCCUCACACGGGCACCUCAAGGACCCAAGUUUGCCACAGCCCAUUGGCUCCCUGGCCUCAGCCCCAAGCGCUGCAGAAAUGAGCAUGGCUUCGGGCGGACUGCAAGCACCAAAGGUACUAGAAGGAGAUGUGGUUUCUGUUUCAUCAUCCCGACGAAUGGAAAAAGGCACGAAAGCCACCCGCCGGGAAGCACGAGGAGCCAACAGACCAGUGACUGCUGGCCAAGAAAAACCACCAGAAACACCUCUUCCAGCUGAACUAAUAACUGAGGAAAAUUUUUAUUUGAGUAUUGAAAAGGAUUUGACUGCCUUAUUAACUGGGGACACCCAGCCAAUGUCCCAAAUCACAAAUAAUGGGAAGAAAGAGACCACCAGAGGGCAAGAGAUGACCUGCCAAAAGCUCUCUGGGGAGAUACCAGCAGCCACCCAUAGAGCAGAGGGCACCAUUAACUUUGUGGGGGGGAAAUGGUCUGAUAUGGGGAGGAAGCAGCUAGGAUUUGAUCGAGAUACUGUCUUCAGGGCAUCCUUAGAGCAGGGGAGCUCGACGGGCCGCUCUGGCAGGAUCAAACAUGUAGGAUUUCAAGGGGUAGAGAUUCUGUGGACAGGGGGAGAAGAGGAAGAAAUGAGACAUGCCUCAGCAGAUGUGGAGGCCUCUGUGGAAAGGACAGCCUUUUCCAAAAACAAGGAGUUUUCCAAAGGAUCAGGUCAUCCUGUUCCAUCUGUGGCUUUCUCUCAUUCAGUCAGGUUGAUGGAGGGUGUUUGGGAUGAACCUUGGAAAAAUUCUUCAGAAAGGUUUGGAACUAGAUCAGGGACAUUUUCUCCAGGAUUGCUUGUGGAAGGAGGAGAGGAUGAAGUGUUUUUGAAGGAAAAUGAACAACAUCCUGAGAAGAAGUCUGUGCCAGAGGAGGAAGUGAAAAGGAUCACUGAGCAAGAGGAAUCAACCAGAGAAGAUGAUGAUGUUCUGGGGCCUGGGUAUACAGAGGACUCAACUGAUGUGUACAGCUCCCAAUUUGAAACCAUUUUGGAUAACACUUCUUUAUACUACAGCGCAGAGUCAUUGGAGACGUUAUAUUCAGAACCUGAUAGCUAUUUCAGCUUUGAGAUGCCUCUCACACCGAUGAUCCAGCAGCGCAUCAAGGAAGGCAGUCAGUUCUUAGAGAGAACUUCAGGGGGGGGACAGCAAGAUGUUCUCAGUGUCUCUGCUGAUGGUGGGAUAAUAAUGGCCUAUCCCGGAGAGAUCACCAAUGGGACAAAUGAUGCCGAUGAGACUGUCUACAGAAAGGGCACCCCUGAGAUGGCUUUCUGGGGAAGCAGCAAUGCUGGGCUGAAAAAGUCCAAUCACGAGCCCCAUUGUGAAAUGGGGAGUACUGAAUUUUUGGAAAAAGAACCUUCUGAGACUAUCAGCAAUGGAACAAAUAGUAAUGUGGAGGCGGCUAGACGGUUGGCCAAGCGUCUUUACCAUCUUGAUCAUUUCAAACGUUCAGAUGUGGCCAAACAUUUAGGGAAGAACAAUGAAUUCAGUCAACUAGUGGCUGAGGAAUACCUUAAGUUUUUUGAUUUUACAGGAAUGACGCUGGAUCAGUCUCUCAGGUAUUUCUUCAAAGCAUUUUCCCUUAUGGGGGAAACCCAAGAACGAGAGAGAGUUUUAGUCCACUUCUCCAACAGAUAUUUUCAUUGUAACCCAAACACCGUUUUCUCAGCAGACGGGGUUCAUUGCCUCACUUGUGCCAUCAUGCUUCUCAACACCGAUCUACAUGGUCAUAAUAUUGGAAAGAAGAUGUCUUGUCAAGAGUUUAUUACGAAUCUCCAGGGUGUGAAUGAAGGCAGUGAUUUUCCCCGGGACCAGCUGAAGUGCCUUUGAUGUGUACUGGUUACUUUGAAGUCAUCAUGAAGCCCCUGAAAUGAAACCUGAAAGCUUUGUCAGGUUUGAAGUCAACAGUGGAUCCUUGCUGCCUUUUCCCCUCAAGGGUGGUGAAUCAAGAUACCUAUCCCAGGUAGAUGCAUGUGUUUGAAGUCAAUAAAAUGAGCAUAAACCAUCCUAGUGAAAGCUUUGUUUGGUACUCAUUUGUGCAUUAAUCCAUGGCCCAAAUGUUGUGUUUUGCUUUUCUAAAUGGCCAUGUUUAGUGUUUUGUUUUUUUUGAAAUUGUUCUCCAGCAACGCAUGGGCUAAGUACAUCCAUUCCUUAACACUCCUAAGCUGACUAAAACUGUGAUAUGCUCUCUUAAAAGAGAGUUUAUCAUUUGAUCUCCUCAGGGUAAAAGUAAUUUAUUAAAGUGAAGUAGGAAUCAGGAGGAAAGGGAGAUGAAGCAAGGAAUAAAUUAAAACAAAUAUUAGACCCAGAGGGUCAGUAAAGAAAAACAAAAUAUUUUAAAUGAAGAUGAAUGUCUUCUGUCUGACAAGCAAGGAAGAUGAUUAUGAAGUAUAAAAUUACACUUUACAAAUUCCCCACCAUCAGACUGCUUUAUCUCUGACUUUUGUGUUUAAAGGUAAAUGGACAAAAAAUUAAGUGGCCUUUAACUAUUUUGAGACAAGCUUUUUGGGGGGAAAGGGAGGAUGUUAAUAGGGAGAGGUGUUAAAUUCUGAGUGUUUAAGAGAAAUCUACAGACUAGCUAGUUUAACCUGUAUGCUUUUGCCUAUGGAACUAACUUAUUCAUAGCCCCUGGCAUGUUAGGAUGGGGUAAGAUAGAGCACAUUUUUUUUCUCCCAGUAUUUAUUUUUUUAAAUUUCAUUCAUACCUACAAAAUGUAUAGAUGAAGAAUAAUGGGGAGUAGCCCAGGGGGUCAGUGGGUAGGAAUCCAGGAGGUCCUGGGUUCAAAUGUGGUUUCAGUCACUUCUUAGCUAUGUGACCUUGGGCAAGUCACUUAUCUCCCAUUGCCUAUCCUUUACUGCUCUUCUUACUUGGAACUGAUACUUAGUAUCAAUUCUAAGGCAGAAAUUAAGGGUUUAAUUAAAAACACACACACACACAAAUCUGUAAAAUGGGGAAUGAGUGUAAAAAUGAAAAUGGAAGGGAGGGCUCAGAAUUGAAAGGUCCAGUAGGGUUCAGGAUGUGUAUAGAAUCAUGGGCUCCUUGAGUUUGAAUCUUGUCUUUAACAUCCUUGCUUUCCAAAGAUCAGUUGAACUAAGUAGUAAUAGGUUCAUCACCAGUAGACUGGUUACAUAGCAAGAAAUUCUUAGGCUAUGGUAACCCAAAGUAAAAUUCCAAAUGGCCCUCACCUUUGUGCUGCUCCCUUUUAUUUCUGUUUUGGCAAUAGAAGAGAAUCAGAGAAUUGCAUGUUUUUGCAUGCACGGAAUUGCACAAUUUCUAUGCCAUAUACGGUUCUUGGAACUCUAAAUGUGAUUUCCUUGUCCAGUGACCGAGUGAUCGUAGUACAGGAAGAGAUGAGUCUUGAUAUUCUUACUAUAAAUGAAGCCAUGAGAAAGAAAGAAACAACCAGAUGAAAGAUUGGUGCCCAGUGCAAGGCUGAUUCACCAGGAGAAAUCAGUGAAGAAAAAGAUAACAAAGGCAUAGGAAACAUUUUAAGAUGUUAUUAAUACUGAAAAGAAGGAAACUGAUGGUGACAAGAAUACAGGCUGUAAGUCCAUCCUAUUCUUUUUCUAUGAAGUCAUCCUUCUUCGACCACAGUGAUUCCACCAAGACUCAAGCCCUCCCUCCUGAUGCUGAUCUCAGAGCAACUAAGGAUGCAGAAGGGCUCAGAGUUUGGGACUUGGGGAGCUUGGGGCUCCACUCUUAGAAUUAGAAAUCAACAUAAUCACAGGUGAAAUAGGUUUCUCUGAUCUAGGUCAGGAAAUUCAAUGUGGUGGGGGUGAUUCCAUGGAGCAUAUGCUCUGGCUCUCUGGGGAUGGACAUGCGCUCUAUGGAAUCACCCCCGCUACAUAAGUAUCUUUAUAAUAAAGACAUAGAAUUUUAGAAGCUGAAGAGACCUUGGAGAUCAUCUAGUCCGGCAUCUUCAUUUUACAGAUGAGGCUUGAAGAGGAAACACAUCUAGAGGUGGAUGAAAUAAACGCAACCUGUAAGAGAAGAUGGCUAAGAACACUUUUAUAAUAAUAAAUUUGUUUUAAAAUUGAAUAUUUCUGAUUCUAGAAAUCUUUGCUUUCUGGGACAUACAAAAAUUUGUUUUGUAAUGUCAAGAACUGUAUGUUAAAAGAGAAACCCAAAAGACCGUUAACAAAUGGAUCAGGGACAUUUUUUUGAAAAUAUGUUUAUUGGUAUAUCUUUUGUAUUUUCAUUUUCUAUAGUUCCCUUUAUUAUUCCUCCCCCAUCUCUUCCCAGAGAGUCAUUCUUUAUAACUGAUUUUUAAGGAAAAAAGAAAAGAAAAAGUCAGCAAAAUGGACCAAAAAUACAUAAAAAUAAAACCCAAAACCAAAUUGACAUUUGUUCUGCAUGCAUGGACCUUGCCAUUGCGGCAAAGGAGUGAAGGAAUUGUUUUCUCAUAUCUCAAAAAAAUUUGGGGGGCCAAGAUUUUUUUUUCCUUGUGAUUUUGUAACAUUCAUUUUCAAUUUGUUCGAUGAUCUUUCUUGCCAUUGACAGUGCUUUAGUCAUUAUAUAUAUAUUUUUUUCUUGGCUCUGCUUACCUUAUAUUGUAUUAGUUAUUGUCUUUCCAUGGCCUUUUUAUUCAUAAUUGUCAUUUCUUAUAGUAUCAUAAUAUGCCAUUAUAUUCCUGUACCACAAUUUAUUUAGCCAUUCCCCAAUUGAUGGGCCUGUAUUUAAUUUCCAAACCUUUGCUACCACAAAAAGUACUGCUAUAAAUAUUUUGGUAUAUAUGGAGCUUUUUUGUCAGUGACCUCCUUGGCAUUUAUAUCUAGUAGUGGAAUCAGAGGUCAGAAGGUAUGGACAUUUUAGCUACCUUAUUUGCAUAAUUUUAAAUUGCUUUCUUGAAUGACUAUACUAAUUUAGAGCUCCACUCACAAUGCAUUAAUUAUGUAUUUCUUCAUGGCCCAUCCAACAUUGACUUCUGUCUUCUGUCAUCUUUGCUGGGUGUGUGAUACAACCUCAAGGUUGUUUUGGUUUGCAUUUCUUUUAUUAUUAGCAGUUUUUAGGUCAUUCUUUCAAAAGGUUGUAAGUACUUUACUAUUCUCAUUUUAAGAAUUAUUCAUAUCCUUUGGGGAAUGGCUUUUGGUCUUUUGUAUUUCUCUUGGUUUAUGUAUCUUGGAUGUUUUAUCUGAGAAAUUUGAUUCAAACAUUUUCCCUUAAAUUGACUAUUUGCCUAGUUGCAUUAAUUUUGUUAAACUUUUCAAUUUUUUCAAUUUCAUGUAAUCAAAAUAACAUUUUUACAUUUUGUAAUUUCUCUACCUUUUGUUUGGUUAAGAAUUCAUCUACUCAUGACUGUGAAAGGUAUAUGAUCUCUCCCUAUUUUUAAUUGGUAUGAUCUUUAAUUACAGAUUGAAUAUCCAUUUUAAAUUUGUUGUGAAAUGUUAUGAUCUAAGACCAGUUUCUGCCAUAAUACUUUCCAGGUUUUCAAAACUUUUAAAAAUCAGAUAGGGAUUUCUUUCCUAAAUAAUUUUUUUUUGGUAUUUGUCUAACCUUGUGUUAUUUAGUUCCAUUUUUUUUUUCUGAUUGUCUGAUCUUUAGUUCUAUUGAACUAGCUCAACAAGUACCAUUCUCUCUCAUUCCUAGUUUUUUCAUUAUUUUCCUAGAUAGGUCAGAUAGUUUUUUAUUGUUUUAUCUUGCUUUGAAAAGUAACCCUUUGGUAUUUUGAUUGUUAUCCACAUUAAAAUUAUAAAUUGUCUUGGUUAUAUUGUCAUUUUUAUUAUAUUGGAAUGGUACAGUCAUAAGUUCUGAAUAUUUACCUAGCUAUUUGUUCUUUAUUUCUUUCAGGAACAUUUUAUAAUUAAAUAUUUAAAAAGUUUUGAAUGUGCUUUGGUAGAUUAUCUCAAAUCUUUAUGCAUUUUUUAGUUAUUUUGAAUAAGAUUUCUUGUUCUAUUACUGCCUCUUGGAUUUUGUUGUUAUAUUGAAAUGCCAUUGUUUUUUGUGAGUUUAUAGUUGCCUUCAACUUUACUGAAACUAUUGUUUCAAAUCAACAGGCAUUUAAAAAAUUAAUUAAAUUCCAAUAUUUUUCAAAGAAUAUAGCAUUUUAAACCCCCCCCACCCCCAGUUCUUGAGAUAUAGUAAGCAGUCUCAUGUAGAUUUUAUAUGUGCCAUCAUGUAAACCAUUUCUCCAUAUUAAUCCUUUUGUGGAAGGAAACUCAAAUAGAAAAAAAAAGAUUAAAGUGAAAAAAAUUUGUUUUGGUCUGUAUUCAGACUCAGUUCUUUUUCUCUGGAAGUAGUUGGCUUUUUUUUUUAUCAUGAGUCAUUUGAGAUAGUUUUGGAUCAUUGUAUUGCUGAGAAUGGUUAGUAUUCACAGUUCAUUAUAAAGUAUUCCAACAACAGGCAUUUUCAAGCACCCACUUUGUUACAGACACUGUACGUGUACAUACAAAUAUUUGUACACACACUAUUAUAUGUGUUUAUGUAUGUGCACACACACAAAGUAGGAGCUUUAAAAAUGCUUGUUUGGGGACAUUUAUGUAUAUAUGUGAGAGAAAUAGAAAUAGAUAUUGUUCAGCUCUUGUAGUCCUAUCCAACUUUUGUGACCCCCUUUGUUGGUUUUCUUGGCAAAGAUACAUUUCCUUCUCCACCUAAUUUUACAGAUGAGGAAACAUAAAAAGUGUGUGUGUGUGUGUGUGUGUGUGUGUGUGUGUGUGUGUGUGUGUGUGUGUGUGUGUGUUUAGUCUCUCUCUCCAUAACAUAGUUUGGAAGGGAAGCCAUUAGCAGUUGGGAUAUCAGGAAGGACUCAUGCAGAAGAUAUGCAUUUUUAUGGGGUGAAGGUGAAGAAGGAGCUUCUGGGUAUGAGUGAUGGCUAGGAUGAAAACAUGGAGACCGGAGAAUGGAGUAUUGCACGUAAAGAAUGAGGCAAUGACAGUUUGGCUAAUUUCAAAGUACAGGCCAGGUAGCAAAUGUUUAAUAAAAAAAAACAGGAAAGAUCAGUUGAUACCAGGUUAUGAAUGGCUUUUAUUUAUUUUUUUAACAGAUAAAUUAAUUUUAUUUAUAUCAUUUCCAAAAUUUUAGAAAUUUCUAAAAAUUUAAAAUUAUAUAAAUAUAAAAUUACAUGAGUUAUAAUUUUUCUAAAAUCAACAUACUUUACUCCCUAUAUCCUCUACUGGCAGAACCUUGUCAUCCAUAUUUGAACAACACAACAUAGCAAAUUUAAUCAUCUUGCCUUGCCUUCAUCCAAUAUAAAGUGAGGGUCCCAAUAUUACAGGGACACCACUUGGAUCCUGCAUAUUUCUCUGAAGUCCUUUAUUGUCACUCCUAGUACAGACUUAAUUUGCUCAAUCAACUUUAUAAUGCUCAGAGCUCUUUGAUCACUGUUUCUGGUCUGCAUCUCUUUUUCACAGUUCCUAUGGACUUUUUCCCAUGGUAUCUCUCAUACAAUUUCUGGCCAUUUUCUGCUAUUGUAAAAGUUAAAAUAGUCUCCAUUUUACACUACGUAUUCACCACUUCAUGAUUUAAAUUUCCCAUUGAUUCUGUCUCCUCCAGGAAGUUUGUCCUGAUUAGGUAAGGAUUCUUUUCUCACAACUAAAAUGAAAUGAAAAACUAUCCACUUGACUCCUGGUCUCCAUUUCCUAAAAAUAACAAUCAACCCCAAAUAAAUAGGAUCAAACAAAAGUAUUCAUUUCAUUAGCACAAGUCUGAUGUUUAUUUUAAUGUGUUUUACAGAGGUACUUAGUAAUCAAUAUAAAACUUUUUAAAAGCAUUAAACCUUUCCUUUAUUUAAAUAAGCAAAUAUGCAGUAACAUAUGUGUUUAUGAAUGGCUUUUAAAGGGAAACAAAGAACUUUUAUUUUAUCCUAAAGGCAGUAAGAAGUUAAUUGAGUAGAGGAGUAACAAGAUCAGAUAUAUUUGUAAGGAGAAUUUAUCAAUGGGUGGAGAGGCUAGAAAGGUGAUAAAAAGAAUUCUAGAAGAAUAAUGAGGAGGCAUUUGUAAUCAUCCAGGCAAUCACUCACAAAUGCCUAACCCAAGUUGGUAGCUUUGCGAGUAGAAAGAAGGGAGCAAAUAUGAGAUGUUUUAAAAGGGAAAUGAUGAGAUUUGAUAACUAAUUGGAUAUAAUGGGAUGAGGGAAAUUGAGGAGUCCAGAUUCAUACCAAGAUUUUAACUUAACAUACUGGAAAGAUGGUAGGACCUUCAACAGAAAGAAAAUUUGGAGAGUUCAACUUUAGACAUGUACAGUUUGAUGUUUCCAGUGAAUCUAAUUUUAAAUGUCCCAAUAAGUAAUUUGUGAUGCUAGACUAAAAUUCAAGGGAAAGAAUAAGGUCUGUUUGACAAGAGUUUGUUUAAAAAUUUUAUAUAUUUUAGAAUAUAUUUGUUUCAUUAAUGGAAUUUGGUAGUAAUUUCUUAGUUUUUGAGAUUAAUUUUUAUAUAAUAUUGGUAUUGAUUGUUUUGUAAAAGUUGUGAUAGAAUUUGCCAGUAAACUUAGUAGGCCAGUAAUCUGUUUUCUACCUUCCUCUUUGAGUAGGAUUUUUCUUUUUAACAACUAGUUUAACUUCAGUUUCUGAGAUUGUAUUAUUUAAGAUUGCUAAAUGAUAUUCUGUUGUUUAGGGCAUUUUAUAUAUUUUGAAUGCCAUCUAUUUCUUUUCUGUUGUGAGUUUUGUUGCUAGAACUGUUCAUAUUUUUAUUUUUUUUGUAAUGAUUUUUGUUAAUUUGUUGAUUUGAUUUUUCUACCCUUUUUAAAAAAUCCUUACCUUCCAUCUUAGAUUGAUAUUGAUUUGAUAUUGAUUCCAAGGCAUAGGAGUGGUAAGAGCUAGGCAAGGGGGGUUAAGUGACUUGUCCAGGGUCACACAGCUGGGAAGUGUCUGAGGUCAGAUUUGAACCUAAAACCUCCCAUCUCUAGACUUGGCUCUCAAUCCACAGAGCCACCCAGCUGCCCUGUCUAUCUUUUUCUAUCAGAUUUUUGAAAAGUUUAUCAAUUUUGUUGGUCUUUUAAAAAUAUUUGCCUUUAGUUUAUAAUUUCUGCAAUCUGUUUGGCUUCUAAUUUCUUUUCCUUUGAUUUUUAGUAUUUUUAUGCUUUUUGCAUUUGUUUUGAAUAAUUUCUAAUUUUUCUAAAUUUCUAGGAUUUAAAAUUUUAAUUUUAAAGAAUGUCUGUUUGUUGAUAGUUUAUUAAUUCUCUACUUUUUUCUUUUCCUAAUGCAUAUUUUUAGGAAUAUAUUAUUUUCCUGAUGAUUGCUUUAUCCAUAAGUCAGAAAUUUUCAUAUUUUUCUUAUCAUUAGCAUUGUUUUUCCAUGUAAUUAUUAUUAUGAUUUGACCUCAUUAUAUACAGUUUCAUUAUUAUGUCUCUUUUUAUUUUGCUCCAUGAACUUGACUACUAUUUUUAUUCUGUUAUAUAAAGCUAUUAAAGUAUUCUGCCUUUUAAAAUUUAUUCGUCAUUUCUUCAUACCCUAAUAAUAAGUAAUAAUUUAAAUAAAAUUUCCACUUUUACUGAUCUAUCUCUGUAUUAAUUUGUAUCUUCAGGAGUCCCUUUCAGAAGAGACUGCUAAUCUUGAGCUCAAAUUUCUCUAGGAAUUCAAUUGUUUUCCCUUUUAUCUUUCUUUUAGAUUUGCCCAUCUCUGAGAGAGGAACAUUGAAAACUGUUAUGAUUAAUCUUUUACUCUCUCUGUCUUGCUACUUAGUUAAUUUGUCUUUUGUACAUUUAGGUGUUUGGCUGUUGGGAUAUGCAACUUUUCUCUUGAUAUUAGUUCAUUGUUUAUUACGCAUCUCCCUUUAUUCUCCCCAUUCUUAAUUUUUAAAUUUGAAACCCUUUCUUUCUGCCUCAGUAACAACUUUUAGACAGAAGGCUAAGGGAUUAAGUGAGUUGCCAAGGGUCCUACAGUUGGGAACUGUCUGAGGUCAUAUUUAAACCCAGGUUCUCCCAUCUCCAAGCCCUGGGAGUCUAUCCAUUGUGCUACUUAGCUGCCCCUUCUUCCUAUUUUAGAUCCUCUUUUUGCCAAUUUCAUCUUGCUAACUAAGAGACUAAAAGAAUUAUUUUUUGUUGUUCACCCAUGGAUUUGGUUAGGGUACAUGAUACAUGUUCUUCUAUCCUUUACUUCCCUUCUAAUUCUGUGAGAAUUUUUCUCUUCUUAUACUUCAGUUUGGUCCUAAUAUAUAUAUAUAUAUAUAUAAAGUAGAUGAGACUGCAAAUUUAUUCUAUGAGUUUUAGGUUUGCCCCCUCACUUUGUGAAAUAGAAAAAGGACAACACAUACUCCCUGGGAUGUAGGGCUCAACAUGCCCUGUGGAAUAAAACAGGUGGAACUCAUAAAACUCCAAUACUUGUUUCUCCAGGUUUCUUCUAAAUUUCACUUUUGUCUUUAUCCCUUUGUGUUCUUUUACAGGGGAAAAAAGUGCCUUUUAAAAAAUUAACCCAAAACUAUAAACAACAUUUAUGAAACUUCUAAGUGUCCUGUUUUUUUCAUUGCCCCCUCCCCCACCAUAGAGCCAAUUGUUAAACUUUUAUUUGCCUGCACACUCCUGGUUGUACCCUUUCAGAAGUCCACCAAUUAUACAUCAGUGUACCUUUUUUUUUUUUAAAAAAGCACAUUCCUUCUAUCAUUUGUCAUUUUCCUUUUUUUUUAAAAUCAUCUUUGGCAGUCUGAUGGGUAUAAAAUGGAAUCUUAAGACUUCUUUAGUUUGCAUUUCUCUAUUUAUUGAUGAUUUAGAUGAUUUUAAAAUAUGACUAUAAAGAGCUUAAUUUUCCUCUAUUUAGAAUUUCCUAUUUAUAUUCUUCAUAUCUUUUGAUCUUUUUAUCAGUUGAGGACAGGCUUCUAUUCAUAUAAAUUUGAAUCUGUUCCUUAUAUCUCUAGGAAAUGAGAUCUUUAUCAAAAGAAGUUGCAAACCACCUGCAUUACACAGUUGUUUCCCAUUUAAGCUUAAUUUUAUUGGACUCAUUUCUGUGACAACUUAAAAAUUUUUUUCAAUACAUUUACUGAAAGCCUUCUGAAGAAAAUUCCACUUCUCCCAUAUAAGAACAACAAGAACAAUAGCAGCAGCAGCUAACAUUUAUAUAGAAUUUUAAAGUUGACAAGAUGCUUUGGAAAUGUUAUUUUAUCCUCACAACAACUCUGAAAGCUAGGUGCUAUUAUUAUCCCUAUUUUACAGAUGAAGAAACUGAGUCAAACAUGUUAGUUGACUUGGCCAGGUCAACACAGACAGUACCUUAGGCUAAAUUUGAACUCAAGUGUUUCUAAUUCCAAGUCUAACACUUAACCCUAUACAACCUCACUGCUUUAGUUGUUUAAUUCAUUUGUGGAAUUAGCACAGUGAUUUAAAUUGCAGUUUGGUCUUGGUGGAGCAUUGGGGUCUUAUUGCCUAAUGGAAUCAAAUAGUAAUUUGUUGACCUGAAUUUAGGGUUUACUCUGCUGGUGAAGGCUUAAAUUAAAAAAAGAAAAA